CAUGCAUCCCUGCCCCUCAUUUCCCCAUUGCUGGCCUGAGGGAAUGAGAAUUUCUCCCCCCAGCCCUCAGGCCUGCCCACCUGAAGCAGAUUUUGCAGUGCAAUCUGUGACACAGCCCGUUCAGUGGCUCAUCUGCCAUGCGUGACCAGGGGGGGACACCAGCCUGGCAUCAUCCCCCUCUCCUCCCUGAGUCAUCCUGAGCUCUGGAUAAUUGGAUCCAGCGCCAGAAACUCUCCUUGCAGAGUUCAUGGCAUCAUUAAGCCUCCAGGCAGGGGGACCAGCAGCAGCAGGUGAUUUCCAUUUGCUGCAGCAAAGGGGCUGUGAGCAAAGCUUGGAAAAACAGAGUGGGAAAUUAUCCCUGAACCUUUACAAGGAGCUGCGAGCAGAGCUUGGAGGCAGAGAGUUUUUGGGAAAUCAUCCCAGCCCAGCUCAUCUGAACAUUUACAGGGAGCAGAGCAGAGCAUGGAGGCACAGAAUGAGAAAUCAGCCCAGCCCAGCUCACCUGAACCCUUACACAGGAGCUGUGAACAGAGGAGAGAUUGAGGCACAGAGUUUUUGGGAAAUAAUCCCAGUCCAGCUCAUCUGGAACCCUUACAGGGAGCAGAGGAGAGCUUGGAGCACAGAAUUUUUGGGAAAUCAUCUCAGCCCAGCUCAUCUGAACAUUUACAGGGGCUGUGAGCAGAACUUGGAGUACAGAACAGGAAAUCAUCCCAGCCCAGCUCAUCUGGAACCCUUACAAGGAGCAGAGGAGAGCUUGGAAAAACAGAGUGGGAAAUCAUCCCAGCCCAGUUCACCUGAACCCUUACAGAGAGCUGUGAACAGAGGAGAAUUUGGAGGCACAGAGUGUUGGAGAAAUCAGCCCAGCUCAUCUGGAACCUUUACAGGGAACUGUGAGCAGAGUCUGGAGGCACAGAGUUUUUGGGAAAUCAUCCCAGCCCAGCUCAUCUGGAACCCUUACAGGAGCUGUGAGCAGAGCUUGGAGCACAGAGUGUUGGGAAAUCAUCCCAGCCCAGCUCAUCUAAACCCUUAGAGGGAGCAGAGCAGAGCAAGGAGGCACAGAAUGUUUGGGAAAUCAUCCCAGCCAGCUCACCUGAACCCUUACAGGGGCUGUGAGCAGAGGCAGAGAUGGAGGCACAGAGUUUUUGGGAAAUCAUGCCAGCCCCCUGUGCUUCCCUGCCCAUCCCUUCCCCGCCAGCCCCCAGCCCCUGGCAGAGCUGAGAGCCGCCAGCAGAGCCUGGAGAACAAUCCCUGCCAUCCCCAAGGAUCUCCCCCUGACUCUGGAUCCGUGGCUCUCUCCCUGCAAUCCUCCCCACUGCGCCAGAGAGCUCCUCCAAAAACGCAUUAAGGCACACAAGUGGGCUCUUCACCGCUCUCUCUUUUCCCUGAGAGGAAUAAUGCACUUGAUUCCCUUUGAUUUUUUAAUUUCAAUCCCUUUGUCAGGCACACAUGGCACUGCUGGAAGGGGCACAGGAGAAGCGCUGUGUGCCAGGAGGGGAGAGCUGAGCUUGGAUCCCACUGCAGCCCUGCCUGUCACAGCCCUAAAAACAUCAUUGUAGGGUUGGGAGCAUCCCAAAUCCUACAUUUGGAUCCCUUCAGUUAUCCUGAUGAGCUCCAGGAUCACUGGAGGGGAAGGCCUGACGGGCUCAGGAUGGGCUAGGAAUAUCAAAGUUCAUCUUAAUUUUACAUUUGCCACUCAAAUAAAUGCCUUUAUCCGCACUGUCCCCA
ensembl:lncRNA